rnacentral:misc_RNA from 1 species
ACCGAUGAUGGCGAUUACAAUAUCAAGCUGCGCAACCUCAUCAAGUUCCUCGAUGAAGGCGACAAGACCAAGAUCACGCUGCGCUUCCGCGGCCGUGAGAUGGCGCACCAGGAUAUCGGUUUCCGUAUGCUUGAACGUCUGAAGGCCGACCUCGAGCCCUAUGGCCAGGUCGAGCAGUUCCCGAAGAUGGAAGGCCGCCAGAUGAUCAUGGUUCUGGCCCCCAAGAAGAAAAAAUAAGCUACAAUAGCGGACUGCGUGGCGGGUGUUCUCACCCGCCCGCGCCGUUUUGCGCAGAAUUUGCCGGGUCACCGGCAAA